UACCGAUGAGGAGGCAGCCGAUUGUGGCUAAGUCCCUGGAUGGUGAUGUGUUUAUGCCGAUGACCAGCAUUAACCUUUGUCGAUGACUACGAUGGAAAGCCUGCCGAUGAUACGGAAGGAAGUCUUGAAGGUUGCCGAUUGGUCUAUGGUGGCGUCCCAGUUUGUCAUGGGAGAAUAGUUUUAUGUUUUCCUUAGCUGUCU
rnacentral:lncRNA from 1 species